rnacentral:rRNA from 1 species
UACGGAGGGUGCAAGCGUUAUCCGGAUUUAUUGGGUUUAAAGGGUCCGUAGGCGGACUCGUAAGUCAGUGGUGAAAUCUCAUAGCUUAACUAUGAAACUGCCAUUGAUACUGCGGGUCUUGAGUAAGGUAGAGGUAGCUGGAAUAAGUAGUGUAGCGGUGAAAUGCAUAGAUAUUACUUAGAACACCAAUUGCGAAGGCAGGUUACCAUGUCUUAACUGACGCUGAUGGACGAAAGCGUGGGGAG